rnacentral:misc_RNA from 1 species
CAACCCUCGAGCCCCCGUGGCCCGGCGUUGGGGAUCUGCCACGGCAGGCCCCUAAAACCAGUGGCGGACCCGAAGGCCCUCUCCUUUGCGCAGUAGCAUCAGCCUCGCAUUGGGAUCCCUCGGCGUCCUGCCUCUAAACCCCCCACAAGUCCGCUCCGGCGGCACCAAGG